rnacentral:rRNA from 1 species
GAUGAACGCUGGCGGCGUGCCUAAUACAUGCAAGUCGAGCGAACGGACGAGAAGCUUGCUUCUCUGAUGUUAGCGGCGGACGGGUGAGUAACACGUGGAUAACCUACCUAUAAGACUGGGAUAACUUCGGGAAACCGGAGCUAAUACCGGAUAAUAUUUUGAACCGCAUGGUUCAAAAGUGAAAGACGGUCUUGCUGUCACUUAUAGAUGGAUCCGCGCUGCAUUAGCUAGUUGGUAAGGUAACGGCUUACCAAGGCAACGAUGCAUAGCCGACCUGAGAGGGUGAUCGGCCACACUGGAACUGAGACGCGGUCCAGGCUCCUACGGGAGGCAGCAGUAGGGAAUCUUCCGCAAUGGGCGAAAGCCUGACGGAGCAACGCCGCGUGAGUGAUGAAGGUCUUCGGAUCGUAAAACUCUGUUAUUAGGGAAGAACAUAUGUGUAAGUAACUGUGCACAUCUUGACGGUACCUAAUCAGAAAGCCACGGCUAACUACGUG